UCUUUUGCACUAACUUCAUUCAUUACCCUUCAUAAUGUGCUGCUGGUUCCUUCCUUUAAACACUACUUGAUUUCUGUCCACAAGUUAGUGAAGCAGUUGCAUUGUGUAGUUUUGUUCACUGAAAAUUCCUGCUUACUCCACAUGAUACAGGACCCUUCUCUGAGGAGGCCUCUGGAUCUUGGUAGAGAAGCUGCUGGCUUAUAUAAGCUGGCUUGAGUUCCUCCUUCCCCUUCUUCCUCUAUUAGUUGUUCAUCUACUUCUGCAUGUUCUGUGUCUGCUUCUUGUAAU
rnacentral:lncRNA from 1 species